rnacentral:rRNA from 1 species
AUUGAACGCUGGCGGCAUGCCUUACACAUGCAAGUCGAACGGUAACAGGUUAAGCUGACGAGUGGCGAACGGGUGAGUAAUGUAUCGGAACGUGCCCAGUCGUGGGGGAUAACUGCUCGAAAGAGCAGCUAAUACCGCAUACGACCUGAGGGUGAAAGCGGGGGAUCGCAAGACCUCGCGCGAUUGGAGCGGCCGAUAUCAGAUUAGGUAGUUGGUGAGGUAAAGUCUCACCAAGCCGACGAUCUGUAGCUGGUCUGAGAGGACGACCAGCCACACUGGGACUGAGACACGGCCCAGACUCCUACGGGAGGCAGCAGUGGGGAAUUUUGGACAGUGGGCGCAAGCCUGAUCCAGCCAUGCCGCGUGCGGGAAGAAGGCCUUCGGGUUGUAAACCGCUUUUGUCAGGGAAGAAAAGGUUCUGGCUAAUACCUGGGACUCAUGACGGUACCUGAAGAAUAAGCACCGGCUAACUACGUG